ACUGUUCACCAACACGUGGACAACCUAUCCUACAGAAGGGGAUAACCCCGGGAAACUGGGGAUAAUACCCUAUAGACUAUGGAUGCUGGAAUGCUCUGUACCCGAAAGGCCCGCCGCUGUAGGAUGGGUCUGCGGCCGAUUAGGUUGUUGUUGGGGUAACGGCCCAACAAGCCUGUAAUCGGUACGGGUUGUGGGAGCAAGAGCCCGGAGAUGGAUUCUGAGACACGAAUCCAGGCCCUACGGGGCGCAGCAGGCGCGAAAACUUUACAAUGCGGGAAACCGUGAUAAGGGAACUCUGAGUGCCCGUAAAAUCGGGCUGUCCAUCAGUUUAAAUAACUGGUGAAGAAAGGGCCGGGCAAGACCGGUGCCAGCCGCCGCGGUAAUACCGGCGGCUCGAGUGGUGGCCACUAUUACUGGGCUUAAAGCGUUCGUAGCUGGUUUGUUAAGUCUCUGGGGAAAUCUUCCGGCUUAACCGGAAGGCGUCUCAGGGAUACUGGCAGACUAUGGACCGGAAGAGGUGAGAGGUACUCCAGGGGUAGGAGUGAAAUCCUGUAAUCCUUGGGGGACCACCUGUGGCGAAGGCGUCUCACCAGAACGGCUCCGACAGUGAGGGACGAAAGCUGGGGGAGCAAACCGGAUUAGAUACCCGGGUAGUCCCAGACGUAAACGAUGUGCAUUAGGUGUAUCGGUGACCACGAGUCACCGAGGUGCCGAAGAGAAAUCGUGAAAUGCACCGCCUGGGAAGUACGGUCGCAAGGCUGAAACUUAAAGGAAUUGGCGGGGGAGCAC
rnacentral:rRNA from 1 species